rnacentral:rRNA from 1 species
AUUGCCUUAGUAGCGGCGAGUGAAGCGGCAAUAGCUCAAAUUUGAAAUCUGGCACUUUCAGUGUCCGAGUUGUAAUUUGAAGAAGGUAUCUUUGGGUCUAGCUCUUGUCUAUGUUUCUUGGAACAGAACGUCACAGAGGGUGAGAAUCCCGUGCGAUGAGAUGUCUAGAUCUAUGUAAAGUUCCUUCGAAGAGUCGAGUUGUUUGGGAAUGCAGCUCUAAGUGGGUGGUAAAUUCCAUCUAAAGCUAAAUAUUGGCGAGAGACCGAUAGCGAACAAGUACAGUGAUGGAAAGAUGAAAAGAACUUUGAAAAGAGAGUGAAAAAGUACGUGAAAUUGUUGAAAGGGAAGGGCUUGAGAUCAGACUUGGUAUUUUGUAUGUUACUCUCUCGGGGGUGGCCUCUACAGUUUACCGGGCCAGCAUCAGUUUGAGCGGUAGGAGAAUUGCGUAGGAAUGUGGCUCGGCCUCGGUCGAGUGUUAUAGCCUUCGUCGAUACUGCCAGCUUAGACUGAGGACUGCGGCUUCGGCCUAGGAUGUUGGCAUAAUGAUCUUAAGUCGCCCGUCUUGAAACACGGACC